GUGGGUUAGAUACCCGGGUAGUCCACGCCCUAAACGAUGUCGACUGGUUGUUGGGGGUUUGACACUCUCAGUAACGAAGCUAACGCGUGAAGUCGACCGCCUGGGGAGUACGGCCGCAAGGUUAAAACUCAAAGGAAUUGACGGGGACCCGCACAAGCGGUGGAUUAUGUGGAUUAAUUCGAUGCAACGCGAAGAACCUUACCUACCCUUGACAUGUCCUGGAGGCCCCUGAGAGGGGGCUGUGCCCGAAAGGGAACGGGAACACAGGUGCUGCAUGGCCGUCGCCAGCU
rnacentral:rRNA from 1 species